UGGUAAGAUUGCUUAUAAGCU
rnacentral:miRNA from 1 species